rnacentral:rRNA from 1 species
UCGGCAACGGAUAUCUCGGCUCUCGCAUCGAUGAAGAACGUAGCGAAAUGCGAUACUUGGUGUGAAUUGCAGAAUCCCGUGAACCAUCGAGUCUUUGAACGCAAGUGCGCCCGAAGCGAUUAGCCGAGGCACGUCUGCCUGGGCGUCACGC